UACGGAGGGGGCAAGCGCUGUCCGGAUUCACUGGGUGUAAAGCGCGUGUAGGCGGGCUGCUGUGUGGCUGGUGAAAGCCCCCCGCUCAACGGGGGAACUGCAUUCGAAACUAGCAGCCUAGAGGAGGGGAGAGGGACCUGGAACUUCCGGUGUAGCGGUAAAAUGCGUGGAUAUCGGAAGGAACGCCAAUGGCGAAGGCAGGCGCCUGGAACGCGCCUGACGCUGAGACGCGAAAGCUAGGGGAGCAAACAGG
rnacentral:rRNA from 1 species